GACGAACGCUGGCGGCGUGCUUAACACAUGCAAGUCGAGCGGUAAGGCCCUUUCGGGGGUACGACGAGCGGCGAACGGGUGAGUAACACGUGGGUGACCUGCCCUUAGCUCUGGGAUAAGCCUGGGAAACUGGGUCUAAUACCGGAUAUGACUCCAUGACGCAUGUUGUGGGGUGGAAAGCCUUGUGCGGCUAGGGAUGGGCCCGCGGCCUAUCAGCUUGUUGGUGGGGUGAUGGCCUACCAAGGCGACGACGGGUAGCCGGCCUGAGAGGGCGACCGGCCACACUGGGACUGAGACACGGCCCAGACUCCUACGGGAGGCAGCAGUGGGGAAUCUUGCGCAAUGGGCGAAAGCCUGACGCAGCGACGCCGCGUGAGGGAUGACGGCCUGGUGUAAC
rnacentral:rRNA from 1 species